AAAAAAGAAAAAAAAAAAGAAAAAAAAAACGAGCCUCAAGUUAAUUAAAAAUCAAUCAAAAGAAUUUCUAAUAUAUAUUAUUCGUUGAAGCAGUAUCAGUGGGCCCAGCAGGCAGCAGCUUCAAUCUUCCCAAUAUGAAAAUGAGACCGUUUGCAGCAGAAAACCGAAAAACAGAAGUAUCUUCCGAAGAAAUUUAAGAAGCAUCCGAGUUUAUGAAAAUUCAGGAUUUGCUUUACUGAUUUAUUUCAAGCAGAAAUUAAUUUGUUCGAAAAUGAUAUUUUAUUUGUUCAUCGACCGUAGCCUGAAGCUUUAAUAUAGGUCAAAUUUAAAAGAAGAGGAAAAAGAAACGUGGAGAAG